UUAACAGUCAUUCUCUGUAACCAUUGAGAAAAUUGUGCCACGCAUAGUCAAGCAUUUUCUUCAAACUCCUGCCAUACAAUGAUGGGAUAGAUGUAAUAAAUAAAAAACAUUUAUAACCUCAAUUUGAUAACUGGUUGCCAUAGAAACGAACUGUAUUUUUAAGAAAGUUACAAAAUCCUGCCAUACUCGGACGCUUGGUACAGUAAUUUGAUUUUUAUCCAUAAUAUCAUUUAACAUCUUUAUUUUUUAUAUUGAUAUGCAUCAAAAUAGUUUAACUCAUGUUCAGCAUUCACUCAACAUUCACGAUACCAGCUAAAACGAUUUAUAAGACAUCAUUAAGGCCCUUAAAUGUAACAAAAAAGUGUUUAAAAGGUGCUUACUUUUGGUAAAUGUAAUUUGAAUAUGCAUCUGGUUUGCAUAAAUUGAUAUAUUGGGCUAAACUGGCAGAAAAUUGAACUUAUAUAAACAUCAAUAACAUAUUUGGGAAUCUAUCUAGUUUCCCCAUAAACACGAUUUAAUAUAAAGCUUAUUUCCCUUUUCUCCUACAUGAUUUAUCCCCCUUUGAUGAUCUUCACAGAGGAGAUAUAGGCAACAUUAAAAAAAAUCAUGGCGGAGAGCUAUCUUUGCCACGAGUUUUUAGUGUCAUUGUCGUGUUAUAUCAAUGGUUUAUCGUUAGGAAUCAUAAUAAAUGAUUGCAGAAGACGAACUUUGUGUAUAUUUAUCAGAUUCAGGUUGCAUUGAUCUUAAUUCGUACUCGAAACCUGUUGUUUUUGUUUACGUGAAUUGAAACUGAAAGUUAAACAGUGUUAAACAGUGUGUUAAACAUUUAAAACAACGUGUGUUAUUCUGAAUACACAUUCAGGGACUACGGAAAAAUAUGAGCGACAGAUCUCUGGAGAAAAUUUGUUGACAAUUAUUUCAGCAAUCGAAGUUACCGUUUAUUUUCCACAGGCACAGGCAUUUCCCCAAACGGUAGGAGAAUUUUGAUAGAGAUUCUGCAUAUGACAGACUACAAUAUAUUAAGGAGCAGUAGCGAAGUUAUCAACCAUUGUAUUCUAGUGUCUGUAGGACAACUACACAAGGACUUUUUCAACAAUAAAAGCUGUCCACACUCAGCAAAAUGACUUGAACAUAAAAAGGCUAAGCAUGUAUAUGCCGAUACUUCAUUCAACAUGUUCCACUCAAAGGAAAUGCUGCCUUUGCUCAACAAUAAUAAGAGUAUAGCUGAAAGUACUGUAUUACUACACUUGUGUAAGAAUGAGUAAUUUUAGAAACAAAAUGUAGAAUCAGCUUCAAUUUCGAACAAAAGAACUUCGAGAAAGAAUUUUAACACAGAUAAAGUGGCAUGAACAAAGUCGAACCCUUUGUGGCAAUGGAGGAAAUGAGACUGUCGGGAAAGUUUACCAGACAUAAAUGCUUGUGAGGUCAAUUAAUCAGCUCCUACUUCUCUCGUUUUCAUCAACUCGAAAAGACGACAGAUGUUGAAGAUUAUGACUCGGAUGUUAAAGAAGAUGGAAAGAAAGCUAUCCGGUCAAAAAGUUAUUUCAAGUCUUAAUUGACAGCAGCCACUAAAGACAAAAUAUGACUACUUCCAUGGCUGACAAUUUAAAGUUAGCAGAAGACUUAAGAAAUAAUUUAUAGCAAAACCGUUUUUUACUUUGUUUUUUUCACAGUGGGAGUUUUAGGUCAAGCAAGAGCAGUUAUUUCAUAUAACAUUUAACAGUCAGAUUGUAUAGCCUAAUGUUUAAACACGUCUUGCUAGAAGUUAUUGCUAUUCUAAUAUAUCUGGUAUGUAAAAGUUAUAUCAAACAUGACGGAACUGUUUAUUUUGCACAUGUAUAAUGUGUAUGGCACCAAAUGUUAGGUCGUCACAUUCUUUGUCAGUACCAGAAAUGGUAUGCAUGCACAUUGAACUGGCGUUUCCAAUGUUGGCAAAACCCAUCUGAUAUUCCCCAUGCCAGAUGAAUUCGCGCUGUUAAUGACAACUAAAGAUUCAUGCACAUAUAUCGUUUAUGUAAAAUUCGAAAAAAUCAGAUAUAUUGAUAGUUUCUCUACGUUCCUUGUAGUAUAUUUCUUGAUUCAAAAGAUGUUACUUUAUGGUGAUAACACAACGUUACACUACAAAUGAUAAAGCUAAAAGGUCAUGACAUCACUUCUGCUCACAGACAUCUAUUUCUCGCACUUUACAAACUUUAAGAAAGAGUGCUACAAAGAAAGUAUUUCUAUUUGCUUUAUCUAUUUUUUAUUUGUAAAAUACUGUGUGCAUGGAAACUAGUCUGUCAGAAUAUAAAACUUUUAUGUAUAAGACAAGCAAGAAAAACCUUCAGUCAUGUGUUUAAAAUUCAGAUAGAAAUAUCCGUCCCUCGGCCACCUGAGCAUGGGUGCAUGGUAACGAGGAUUGUAGAGUUGCCGCCCAGUGUGCAGGUGCCCUCGGGAUGGAUAUUUCUAUCUGAUUCGUAUAAUAAAUGACAUAUAUCAUUAAUACAUCUUGCAGAAUAGUUCCAUUAAGGCGAGCGUACAGCAAUUAACUAUAGCUCUGGUAUGUGUAAAUUAAUCAAGAAAGUUGUGUUUUGUGAUAUUUUGUUUAAAAACAUGUUUUCUAAGUAAAAUAUUUUAUCAAAUUUGAAGCGCUGGUUCUUGAUAAAUACAUGGUGCUCCAUAGAAGUGACAUCAGCAUUAACAUAUAAACAUUAUGAAGGGGUUAUACCAAGCAGAAUAAUUUCACAAGGGCCUAGCCGAAUAACACUGCAUAUAAUAGUUUAGUUUUAUUAGCUCACCUGUCACAUAGUGACAGGGUGAGCUUUUGUGAUUGCCCUUGGUCCGUCCACAAUUUCUUAUCUGCACGAUAGUGGUUUCUUUCAUGAUUUUAUCUUAACCAAACUUGCACACAUUUUGUAUCACCAUUAGAUCUUGGUUCCUUUCUGGAACUGACCAGAUCUUGUUAUGGGUUCCAAGGUUAUGGCCCCUGGAAGGGCCAAAAUGAGCUAUUUUGACCUUGUCUGCGCAAUAGCAGCUUCAUUUAUAAUUUGAUUUUAACCAAACUUGCACACGACUUGUA
rnacentral:lncRNA from 1 species